rnacentral:lncRNA from 1 species
GUCCAAGAUGACUGUGCUCAACAAAUCCGCUUAUUGAAGCCCAUUGAUGACUCAUGGUCAGCCACGACUCCUACUGAGUUAGUCCUCUGCAACCGCCUGAUCGACGUCUCACAUCUUGAGUAGACAGAUCAUGGCCGACCAUCGCUCGAUGGUGCGUUAUUGCCAAUGUAUCCUCCUUGGCCGAUCAUGUCUGGCCGACCAACCUCGCGCC